rnacentral:lncRNA from 1 species
ACCAUAUUUAUUUAAGGGCAAAGGAAAGCAAAUGAGGUUCUCAGUCACACACACAACGAUUUUAUUCUUUUCCUUUGGUGUUGUUUACAGUGUCUCCCACAAAAGGAGAGCUCCCCUUGGCAGAGAAGACAACGGGGUUCAUCGAACCGGAAGAACCCAGUGGCAAGAAUAAACUUCUGAACAGAAGGCCAAGGAGGCGUCAGCCGGAGCUUGCCCAUUUCUUGACCUUCAGGACUCAAGGUUCCAUUCCCAGGUGAGGUGGUCCUGUUUGUCGUCAUCCGUGAAGAAGGACUUGUUGUGGUAAGUGCCUCGGGCCAGCAUGCCCUUGGGAGCUUCCUCUACUGGAGUGAGGAAUUCGUACUCC